UCCUCUUCCUCUCGAUUUCUUGAUUCUCUGCCGUUCCGCUUUCAUUUUUCUUCGGUGGAGAACCUGCAGCUCUUCUCUUCGAAAACUGAAGUUCACGCCAGCCCCCACUACCGUUGGUCCCCUUCGGUCAGAGCCUUCCUCGAUGGCCUCGUUUGUUGACUGAGCAACACCCGUGAAUCUCAAAGACCGAAGCUGCCCAUUUUCAGCGUCGCACGCCAGCAUCUCCAGCGAAGACCACUCAUCUUCGGUCUUCCUUCGUGCCUUCAAAAUCAGUUCACCGAAGGCAGCAUCAACUUUGGUCGGCCACUCACGCCAGCCUCCACCAAAAGUCAGCAACCAGCAGUCCAGCGAAACUGCCCCUCAUCCGCGCCAUCUGUCCGCGAUCCAACUUCUCUCAGUCAACUUCAAGCCACGCCGAAGCCCCUUCGUUGACUGCAUCUCGUCCGCAACGCCAGCCCACGCGUCCGACUUUCCUUCAGCUUGCGCCUUCAACGAACAAAUCCCUGCUUCGCGGAGGCUGUCUCAAUCGAAUCCCACCGUCUCGGCCAGCUGCACCCUUUUCGUGGCUUGCACUUUCCUCGGGCGUGUCGUCAUCCUCGAAGCCAGCUCGUGGGAUCGAGCAAAGCGCAGCCCACCACCCGCAAACGGCCCAGCAAACUCUAGCGAUUUGGGCCAUGUCUCCAGUCCAGCACUUUCAGCAAUUCGGGCCCAGCAAGAUUCAGUCCAAAUGAGGGCCAUUUCAAGCCCGCAAGAGUCCAACAGCCCAGUCUUUUUCUAGGCCCAGUUUCCGGCAAUCAAUUGAAGUCCAGCCCGCAAUUUGAAGCUCAAGUAAAUUCAGUCCAGAAAUUCAGCAGGCCCAACCCAACUUGGGUCUGGCCCAAAAGCAAGAACAAAUCUCAGUUGGGCUGAGAUUUGUUGGGGCCAAGCAAGGCCAGUCCAAGUCCGCCGGUGGUUUCGAAAGCCCGAUUUCGGCCGCCGUCGCGUCGCCGUUGCGGUGAUCUGGUCUUUGUUCUUAUCAAGACCCUGAGGAGAAGCUAAGGAAGAGGAACCUGAAGGGGAGAAAGACUUUUGAAGAAGAAGACGAUCCAGAGAGGGAUCUUGAAUAUAACCCGGAUGUGGACUGAGAUCCCCAUCCUUUUGUAAACCCCGUCUUAGCAUAGAUAGGUGUGAGACAAGUAUGUUGUGAAUAGUAUUGUAAAUAUACUAUGAGUUGUCUGUUAAUGAAAGUGUGGUUAUGAAUUUCAA